AGAGUUUGAUCCUGGCUCAGGAUGAACGCUGGCGGCGUGCUUAACACAUGCAAGUCGAGCGGAGGUUCAUGAGGUGCUUGCACCUAAUGAACCUUAGCGGCGGACGGGUGAGUAACGCGUGGGUAACCUGCCUUAUACAGGGGGAUAACAUAUGGAAACGUAUGCUAAUACCGCAUAAGCGCACGAGAUCGCAUGAUUUUGUGUGAAAAACUCCGGUGGUAUAAGAUGGACCCGCGUCUGAUUAGCUAGUAGGUGAGGUAGCGGCUCACCUAGGCAACGAUCAGUAGCCGGCCUGAGAGGGUGAACGGCCACAUUGGGACUGAGACACGGCCCAAACUCCUACGGGAGGCAGCAGUGGGGAAUAUUGCACAAUGGAGGGAACUCUGAUGCAGCGACGCCGCGUGAAGGAAGAAGGUUUUCGGAUUGUAAACUUCUAUCAGCAGGGACGAAAAUGACGGUACCUGACUAAGAAGCCCCGGCUAACUACGUGCCAGCAGCCGCGGUAAUACGUAGGGGGCAAGCGUUAUCCGGAAUUACUGGGUGUAAAGGGUGCGUAGGCGGUAAUGUAAGUCAGGUGUGAAAGCCCGAGGCUCAACUUCGGGAUUGCACUUGAAACUACAUAACUAGAGUACAGGAGAGGUGAGUGGAAUUCCUAGUGUAGCGGUGAAAUGCGUAGAUAUUAGGAGGAACACCAGUGGCGAAGGCGACUCACUAGACUGUAACUGACGCUGAGGCACGAAAGCGUGGGUAGCGAACAGGAUUAGAUACCCUGGUAGUCCACGCCGUAAACGAUGAAUGCUAGGUGUCGGCUCUUAAAGGGUCGGUGCCGAAGUUAACACAUUAAGCAUUCCACCUGGGGAGUACGUACGCAAGUAUGAAACUUAAAUGAAUUGACGG
rnacentral:rRNA from 1 species